UAAUUGUAAAACCAAUACAUUAUCUAAUAUGCACAAUAAUUACACAAUAAUAAUACGAGUAUAUAAUCCGGAAAGUUAUAAAAUAUACAAUUUUGAGUAGAAUAAUAAAAUAUAAUUUAAUUAUAUUAUAUUGUUGUUAUUUUAGAUUUUUAGUGGAGCAAAGAAUGUUUUGGUUUUACAAUAAUAAUAAUUUUUCCUUGCUGUGGAUAUGUCUACCAGCAAUUUUUUUUGAUUUUUAAUGAUAGCA